UAUACUGACGCUGAUGGACGAAAGCGUAGGUAGCGAACAGGAUUAGAUACCCUGGUAGUCCACGCUGUAAACGAUGUCAACUAGCCGUUGGGACACUUGAUGUCUUAGUGGCGCAGCUACCGCGAUAAGUUGACCGCCUGGGGAGUACGGUCGCAAGAUUAAAACUCAAAUGAAUUGACGGGGGCCCGCACAAGCGGUGGAGCAUGUGGUUUAAUUCGACGCAACGCGAAGAACCUUACCUACUCUUGACAUCUAGCGAACUUAGCAGAGAUGCUUUGGUGCCUUCGGGAACGCUAAGACAGGUGCUGCAUGGCUGUCGUCAGCUCGUGUUGUGAAAUGUUGGGUUAAGUCCCGCAACGAGCGCAACCCUUAUCCUUAGUUGCCAGCACAUAAUGGUGGGAACUCUAGGGAGACUGCCGGUGAUAAACCGGAGGAAGGUGGGGACGACGUCAAGUCAUCAUGGCCCUUACGAGUAGGGCUACACACGUGCUACAAUGGUAUGUACAGAGGGAGGCAAGCUGGCGACAGUGAGCGGAUCUCAUAAAGCAUAUCGUAGUCCGGAUCGCAGUCUGCAACUCGACUGCGUGAAGUCGGAAUCGCUAGUAAUCGCAAAUCAGAAUGUUGCGGUGAAUACGUUCCCGGGCCUUGUACACACCGCCCGUCACACCAUGGGAGUGGGUUGCAAAAGAAGUAGGUAGCUUAACCUUCGGGAGGGCGCUUACCACUUUGUGAUUCAUGACUGGGGUGAAGUCGUAACAAGGUACCCGU
rnacentral:rRNA from 1 species